CGGGGGCACGGGGGGCCUACGGGAGGCAGCAGUGGGGAAUUUUGGACAAUGGGCGCAAGCCUGAUCCAGCCAUGCCGCGUGAGUGAAGAAGGCCUUCGGGUUGGAAAGCUCUUUCGGCAGGAACGGAAUGGUUCGUGCUAAUACCACGGACUGAUGACGGUACC
rnacentral:rRNA from 1 species